UAUAAGAAAAGGCAAACUUGGCGAAAGCAAAGGACGCAAAGUCACAGACCUUCAAUUUUUCAUGUGAAAAAUUAUGGUGGCUGGAUUACCGGA
rnacentral:ncRNA from 1 species